UCCUUCUCCCCUUUCUCCUGUGUGCCUGAGCCAUCCCCGACGCCGAUCCCUCGCCCUAACCGCACUCGACGACAGUUCCAUCUCCUCCUAUUUCUCCCCUCGCCCGAACCGAUCUCUUCCUCUUCCCCCAUUUCUCCUUCUUCUACUUACUGAGAUCUGCCCUAACCUCUCUGUAGUCCGUCGCACGGAGCACUGCCGCACCCCUCCCUUUCCUCUGCCACUUCGUUGACGGCGUCGAUCGCCACCCCUACCUGUGCCCUAGUCUCCAGCUGACGUCUCCUUCUCGCCGAUCGCCACUUCAGCACCCGAUCGCCCUGGCGCUGCUCAUCUCAGCGUCGGCCGAGCCGCCAUCUCUUCUACCCCUGUCUUGAAGGUCGCCAGGGGUUUCCCCUCUCGUGAGUUUCCUUCCUUCCGAGAUGUGCCCUAGCAGCGUGGUCUCAUCGCGCCACUGAUUUGUCGGAUCCCUGGUCGUCACAGACAGUAAGAGAGAAAUAGUGAGGAGGUCCAGCAGCUACUUCUUCCGGUAGCAACCAGCUUUGGCUGUGAGUUGAGCGGUAUCGCAGCGUGUACCUCCGACAUUGACUAACUGAGGAAUCCCUAUAUCUUGGACUUUGACGCGAGACGAGUAUCUCGACGUCGGAUUUGGACCAGAUAUGAUCCUUUC